rnacentral:snoRNA from 1 species
AGGCAUCUACUGGUAGGCCUUGAACAAUUUGCUGUUGCUCUUUUGGUUUGCACUAAGGUGUAAAAGAAAAUGGUCCCUGAGCUUUCUGUCUGUCUUUGUGGCAGCGCAGAUUGAAUUGGGGAAUAUGUCC